UGGGGAAUAUUGGGCAAUGGGCGCAAGCCUGACCCAGCCACGCCGCGUGAGUGAUGAAGGCCUUCGGGUCGUAAAGCUCUGUGGGGAAGGACGAAAAAACAUUGGCUAAUAUCCAAUGGCUUGACGGUACUUCCUUAGCAAGCACCGGCUAACUCUGUGCCAGCAGCCGCGGUAAUACAGAGGGUGCAAACGUUGCUCGGAAUCAUUGGGCGUAAAGCGCACGUAGGCGGCCUGAUAAGUCGGUAGUGAAAGCCCUCGGCUUAACCGAGGAAGUGCUAUCGAAACUGCCAGGCUUGAGUACCGGAGAGGAUCGCGGAAUUCCCGGUGUAGAGGUGAAAUUCGUAGAUAUCGGGAGGAACACCAGUGGCGAAGGCGGCGAUCUGGACGGAUACUGACGCUGAGGUGCGAAAGCGUGGGGAGCAAACAGGAUUAGAUACCCACGUAGUCCCUGAGCGGGCUGGCAAGGCGCAU
rnacentral:rRNA from 1 species